CGCGGCCUAUCAGCUUGUUGGUGGGGUAGUGGCUUACCAAGGCUUUGACGGGUAGCCGGCCUGAGAGGGUGACCGGCCACAUUGGGACUGAGAUACGGCCCAGACUCCUACGGGAGGCAGCAGUGGGGAAUAUUGCACAAUGGGCGGAAGCCUGAUGCAGCAACGCCGCGUGCGGGAUGACGGCCUUCGGGUUGUAAACCGCUUUCGCCUGUGACGAAGCGUGAGUGACGGUAAUGGGUAAGGAAGCACCGGCUAACUACGUGCCAGCAGCCGCGGUGAUACGUAGGGUGCGAGCGUUGUCCGGAUUUAUUGGGCGUAAAGGGCUCGUAGGUGGUUGAUCGCGUCGGAAGUGUAAUCUUGGGGCUUAACCCGGAGCGUGCUUUCGAUACGGGUUGACUUGAGGAAGGUAGGGGAGAAUGGAAUUCCUGGUGGAGCGGUGGAAUGCGCAGAUAUCAGGAGGAACACCAGUGGCGAAGGCGGUUCUCUGGGCCUUUCCUGACGCUGAGGAGCGAAAGCGUGGGGAGCGAACAGGCUUAGAUACCCUGGUAGUCCACGCUGUAAACGGUGGGUACUAGGUGUGGGGUCCAUUCCACGGGUUCCGUGCCGUAGCUAACGCUUUAAGUACCCCGCCUGGGGAGUACGG
rnacentral:rRNA from 1 species